UGGGCAGAUGUGGAGGGGUGAAAGAGCAGUUGUGAAACUGAGCCAUCAACUGUGCCUAGAGAUCACUGAAGUGAAGGACCGGAGACACUAAAGCUAAGAGUUAACGUUUAUUGAGCAUCUACAGUAUACCAAGCCCUCUUCUAGAAACAAAUGAACACAAAGUUCUUGGCACAGUGCCUGGCACAGUCAGGCUCCAUCAAGUUUCAUUUCCUUUCUCCCUGCUAUUAAAUGAGAAAGAGGGCAUGAGGAGGUGGGAGUAAAGGAGCCAGAAAGGGAAGGUAGGAGACUGGCAAGAAGAAGCUCUGGCUGCUCUGGGAUGCAACAUGCAGGUUCCCCCAACCCUCCUGGAGUAGGAGGAGAAGCUGCCCCUCACUGACCACUCAGGAAGGAGAGAAGCUUCCCAUGUCAACGCCCCCAGCUCUCGUCUGUGUCAGAGCCAGCAAUGAGGACAGAUGGAAACUUUUUGAACUACGUGCUGGCAAGAAUGUGGCUGACAACACGGUGACCUGGAUCUGCCUCCAGGGGUGCUGGCAGAGCAGGGCUCUCACGCAGGGUUAGGAGAUGCACAGAAUUCAAGGCCUCCGAGUGACAGUUAGCAGAACCUGAAUGGGCUGCUCAUCGAGGAAAAAGCCCUGAUGGAGUCCAGGAACUCAAGUCCCAGUUCUGGUUCCUUCGCCAUUCAGCUGUGCCAUCAUGGGCACAUCACUUAGCCUCACUGGAGUUCAGUUUCCUCAGUAGUAAAAUGUGGUAAGGUAAGGGGAAGGACCAAUAAUUUAUCUUCACUUACAACUCUGAGUUAUUAUUCUAUGAAAAAAAUAUGUUG
rnacentral:lncRNA from 1 species